rnacentral:lncRNA from 1 species
AGGCAGACCGGACCGCCGGGUUUGUGUCUCUCCUUUAUCCUUAGCUUGCUAAGGCUUUGAGGCUCAUGUCUAGUCUAUCCUGUCCCUGCUGAGACUCCACGGAUCCUUGAGUCUCCAUGCCUCGACACCCCUGUUCUGGACUGCAUCUCCCUGCAGAAGGCGCUGGGAAAGGCCCACCAGAGUCUGGCAGCUUCUCACCUCCUCCCCAGAGAGAUGAAAUCCCUAGACUUGGCAGGUAUUUCUGGAUCCUGAGGCUAGCCUCUGGGACCAGCCAAACCAGGGGCCUUAAUUUAGCUGGGCUUCCAUUUUUCCAUAGGAACAGUGGGCAUAUUUGGAAGAACAGUCAUCAGCAGGGUGGGUCAAGGGGCUUUUGCCCUGAAAGGAGGAAGAUGCCCUUUAAUCAGAGCCUAUUACAUGCCUGGUCCAGUGGUGAACAAUUUGUUCUGAUUAAUUAAAAAAAAAAAAAAA